rnacentral:rRNA from 1 species
GUCGAGCGAAUGGAUUAAGAGCUUGCUCUUAUGAAGUUAGCGGCGGACGGGUGAGUAACACGUGGGUAACCUGCCCAUAAGACUGGGAUAACUCCGGGAAACCGGGGCUAAUACCGGAUAACAUUUUGAACCGCAUGGUUCGAAAUUGAAAGGCGGCUUCGGCUGUCACUUAUGGAUGGACCCGCGUCGCAUUAGCUAGUUGGUGAGGUAACGGCUCACCAAGGCAACGAUGCGUAGCCGACCUGAGAGGGUGAUCGGCCACACUGGGACUGAGACACGGCCCAGACUCCUACGGGAGGCAGCAGUAGGGAAUCUUCCGCAAUGGACGAAAGUCUGACGGAGCAACGCCGCGUGAGUGAUGAAGGCUUUCGGGUCGUAAAACUCUGUUGUUAGGGAAGAACAAGUGCUAGUUGAAUAAGCUGGCACCUUGACGGUACCUAACCAGAAAGCCACGGCUAACUACGUGCCAGCAGCCGCGGUAAUACGUAGGUGGCAAGCGUUAUCCGGAAUUAUUGGGCGUAAAGCGCGCGCAGGUGGUUUCUUAAGUCUGAUGUGAAAGCCCACGGCUCAACCGUGGAGGGUCAUUGGAAACUGGGAGACUUGAGUGCAGAAGAGGAAAGUGGAAUUCCAUGUGUAGCGGUGAAAUGCGUAGAGAUAUGGAGGAACACCAGUGGCGAA